AUUGAACGCUGGCGGCAGGCCUAACACAUGCAAGUCGAACGAGUGGCGGACGGGUGAGUAAUGUCUGGGAAACUGCCUGAUGGAGGGGGAUAACUACUGGAAACGGUAGCUAAUAACGCAUACCAUCAGAUGUGCCCAGAUGGGAUUAGCUUGUUGGUGGGGUAACGGCUCACCAAGGCGACGAUCCCUCGCUGGUCUGCGAGGAUGACCAGCCACACUGGACCUGAGACACGGUCCAGACUCCUACGGGAGGCAGCAUUGGGGAAUAUUGCACAAUGGGCGCAAUCCUGAUGCAGCCAUGCCGCGUGUAGGAGGAGGGCAUUCGGGUUGUAAAGUACUUUCAGCGGGGAGGCGAUACCCGCAGAGGAAGCACCGGCUAACUCCGUGCCAGCAGCCGCGGUAAUUC
rnacentral:rRNA from 1 species